rnacentral:misc_RNA from 1 species
GAUGAAGAACGUAGCGAAAUGCGAUAAGUAAUGUGAAUUGCAGAAUUCAGUGAAUCAUCGAAUCUUUGAACGCACCUUGCGCCCUUUGGCCAUUCCGAAGGGCAUGCCUGUUUGAGUAUCAUGAACACCUCAACUCUUCAUGGUUUUCCAUGAUGAGCUUGAACUUUGGGGGUCUUGCUGGCCUGUGGGUCGGCUCCUCUCAAAUGAAUCAGCUUGCCGGUUUUUGGUGGGCAUCACAGGUGUGAUAACUAUCUACGCUUGUGGUUUUCCACCAGGGUAACCUUCAGCAGUGGAGGUUCACUGGAGCUUACAAAUGUCUCUCCUCUGUGAGGACAGCCCUUUGAAUGUUUGAUCUCAAAUCAGGUAGGACUACCCGCUGAACUUAAGCAUAUCAAUAAGCGGAGGA